AGAUUGAUGAUGAUGAAUUUCUAAAACACGCGUGUUGUUUUAAAAUAGAACAUUUCAAACUGAUAAUGGUGAACAUUUUGGAAAUUGAAUCUGGAAACAGGCCAAUCGGACAAAUCAAAAAACCAGUGACCAUUGCUACGGAUCAUCAUGAUCCAUUUUGAAAAUGAAAAACUGAAUGGCC